rnacentral:ncRNA from 1 species
CAUAGGUUUGGUUCUAGCCUUUCUAUUAGUUAUAAAUAAAAUUACACAUGCAAGAAUCCUCGCCCCCGUGAGAAUGCCCUUUAACCACUUUAACUGGUACAAGGAGCUGGUAUCAAGCACACUUAAAGUAGCUCAUAACACCUUGCUCAGCCACACCCCCAAGGGAAACAGCAGUGACAAAAAUUAAGCAAUAGAUGAAAGUCUGACUAAGUUAUAUUUCAAAGGACUGGUAAAUCUCGUGCCAGCCACCGCGGUCAUACGAUUAGGUCGAACUAAUAGAUAUCCGGCGUAAAGAGUGAUUAAGAAUUAUAUAAACAAAUAAAGUUAAAUUUUAACUAAGCCGUAAAAAGCCUCAGUUACUGUAAACUAAACAACGAAAGUGACUUUAAAAUUUCUGACUACACGAUAGCUAAGACCCAAACUGGGAUUAGAUACCCCACUAUGCCUAGCUUUAAACAUAAAAGAUUACUAACAAAAUCAUUCGCCAGAGUACUACUAGCAAAAGCUAAAAACUCAAAGAACUUGGCGGUGCCUUAUAUCCAUCUAGAGGAGCCUGUUCUAUAAUCGAUAAACCCCGAUAUACCUCACCAACCCUUGCCAAAUCAGCCUAUAUACCGCCAUCUUCAGCAAACCCUAAAAAGGAAGCAUAGUAAGCAUAAAUAUAAACAUAAAAACGUUAGGUCAAGGUGUAGCUUAUGGAUUGGGAAGAAAUGGGCUACAUUUCCUGUAUCUAAGGAUAUAACCCUACGAAGACACGUGUGAAACCAUUAGUUAAAGGUGGAUUUAGUAGUAAAUUAAGAAUAGAGCGCUUAAUUGAAUAAGGCCAUGAGGCACGCACACACCGCCCGUCACCCUCCUCAAGCAACAACUAACACUCAUUAAUUUAAACACAAGUUAUGGACCCUGUAAGAGGAGAUAA